rnacentral:rRNA from 1 species
AACGAACGCUGGCGGCAUGCCUAACACAUGCAAGUCGAACGAGACCUUCGGGUCUAGUGGCGCACGGGUGCGUAACGCGUGGGAACCUGCCCUUAGGUUCGGAAUAACUCCCCGAAAGGGGUGCUAAUACCGGAUAAUGUCUUCGGACCAAAGAUUUAUCGCCUUUGGAUGGGCCCGCGUUGGAUUAGCUGGUUGGUAGGGUAAAAGCCUACCAAGGCGACGAUCCUUAGCUGGUCUGAGAGGAUGAUCAGCCACACUGGGACUGAGACACGGCCCAGACUCCUACGGGAGGCAGCAGUGGGGACUAUUGGACAAUGGGCGAAAGCCUGAUCCAGCAAUGCCGCGUGAGUGAUGAAGGCCUUAGGGUUGUAAAGCUCUUUUACCCGGGAUGAUAAUGACAGUACCGUGAGAAUAAGCUCCGGCUAACUCCGUG